ACGAACGCUGGCGGCGUGCUUAACCCCUGCAAGUCGCACGGAAAGGCCCUGCUUUUGUGGGGUGCUCGAGUGGCGAACGGGUGAGUAGCACGUGAGUAACCUGCCCUUGACUUUGGGAUAACUUCAGGAAACUGGGGCUAAUACCGGAUAGGAGCUCCUGCUGCAUGGUGGGGGUUGGAAAGUUUCGGCGGUUGGGGAUGGACUCGCGGCUUAUCAGCUUGUUGGUGGGGUAGUGGCUUACCAAGGCUUUGACGGGUAGCCGGCCUGAGAGGGUGACCGGCCACAUUGGGACUGAGAUACGGCCCAGACUCCUACGGGAGGCAGCAGUGGGGAAUAUUGCACAAUGGGCGGAAGCCUGAUGCAGCAACGCCGCGUGCGGGAUGACGGCCUUCGGGUUGUAAACCGCUUUCGCCUGUGACGAAGCGUGAGUGACGGUAAUGGGUAAAGAAGCACCGGCUAACUACGUG
rnacentral:rRNA from 1 species